UUCGAACAUGUAAUAGAAUGCAAACUUGGCAAAGAAGCAGGAAAUUAGGAACAAUGGGCAUUUUGUUCUUUGAAACUUAUUUCUCUGCAUCUUGCCAUCCUAUAUCUAUGCUUCAUCCUGAUGCCAAACUCAGGAUUUAAUGUCAAAAUCAAAGUUUGAGAGGGAAUUUGCAGCUUGAAAGUAGAUGGAUUUAUUGCAUUUUGUACGUUAAUAGCAAUUUCCCAUUUUGAUUUGCAAGGACAUUCUCACAAAUUUAGAGACUACUACGUCCCUCUUGGCAGAUAUGUUCUAAGACUUACAAGACUUACAAUGAAUAUAAAGCAUAAUAUUAAAUUUGUAUCAGCAAAAAUGGUGUCCUCACACACUUUAUAUAUAAAAGAAACUCAGGAAACAUGAAUUUUUUAUAGUUAUAUUUUUUCAGUUUCUUUCAUUCCUGUUGUAACAAAGAGACAAAACUAAGUUAAACAUGUAAAAGGUUAAAUUUUAUUUGAAUAUU